rnacentral:rRNA from 1 species
AUUGAACGCUGGCGGCAUGCUUUACACAUGCAAGUCGAGCGGCAGCGCGGGGGCAACCCUGGCGGCGAGCGGCGAACGGGUGAGUAAUACAUCGGAACGUACCCAGGAGUGGGGGAUAGCCCGGCGAAAGCCGGAUUAAUACCGCAUACGAUCUUAGGAUGAAAGUGGGGGACCGCAAGGCCUCACGCUUUUGGAGCGGCCGAUGUCCGAUUAGCUAGUUGGUGGGGUAAAGGCCUACCAAGGCGACGAUCGGUAGCUGGUCUGAGAGGAUGAUCAGCCACACUGGGACUGAGACACGGCCCAGACUCCUACGGGAGGCAGCAGUGGGGAAUUUUGGACAAGUGGGGGAACCCUGAUCCAGCCAUGCCGCGUGCGGGAAGAAGGCC